rnacentral:rRNA from 1 species
GACGAACGCUGGCGGCGUGCUUAACACACGCAAGUCGAACGGAAAGGCCCUGCUUUUGUGGGGUGCUCGAGUGGCGAACGGGUGAGUAACACGUGAGUAACCUGCCCUUGACUUUGGGAUAACUUCAGGAAACUGGGGCUAAUACCGGAUAGGAGCUCCUGCUGCAUGGUGGGGGUUGGAAAGUUUCGGCGGUUGGGGAUGGACUCGCGGCUUAUCAGCUUGUUGGUGGGGUAGUGGCUUACCAAGGCUUUGACGGGUAGCCGGCCUGAGAGGGUGACCGGCCACAUUGGGACUGAGAUACGGCCCAGACUCCUACGGGAGGCAGCAGUGGGGAAUAUUGCGCAAUGGGCGGAAGCCUGAUGCAGCAACGCCGCGUGCGGGAUGACGGCCUUCGGGUUGUAAACCGCUUUCGCCUGUGACGAAGCGUGAGUGACGGUAAUGGGUAAAGAAGCACCGGCUAACUACGUG